rnacentral:rRNA from 1 species
AACAAACGCUGGCGGCGUGUCUUAAGCAUGCAAGUUGAGCGGCAAGGAGGAGAGAUCCUCCCUAGAGCAGCGGACUGGUGAGUAACGCGUGGGUAAUCUAUCUUAGGCAUGGGGAUAGUCACUAGAAAUAGUGGGUAAUACCGAAUAAGUUCCAUAAGGGGAGGACUUAUGGAAGAAAGGUGCUACGGCACUGGCCUUAGGUGAGCUCGCGUCCCAUUAGCUAGUUGGUGAGGUAAAGGCCCACCAAGGCGAUGAUGGGUAGCCGGCCUGAGAGGGUGUACGGCCACACUGGGACUGAGAUACGGCCCAGACUCCUACGGGAGGCAGCAGCUAAGAAUAUUCCGCAAUGGACGGAAGUCUGACGGAGCGACGCCGCGUGGAUGAAGAAGGCCGAAAGGUUGUAAAGUUCUUUUGCUAGGGGAGAAUAAGUGUGGGAGGGAAUGCCUGCACGAUGACAAGGACUAGCGAAUAAGUCCCGGCCAACUACGUGCCAGC